UACUCUGACACUGACUUACUCUUAGUAAGGACCAUAGAAAAAUGAAUAUUAAAUACUUUUAAUUACUCUAUGGUAAGGACUAAGGGCAUAGAAUAAUAUUGAGGGGGUAUACUAUGACUAAGGGUUACCUCCAUUUUUUGCCAAGUGGGCAAAAAAUGUGGGCUCAAAGACUUCUACAGCUCCAUAUCCAUUAUUCAGAGGUAUUAUUCUGUGAAUAUAUCCUAUAUGGAAGAGGGCAAUACAAAAGGUCCCUUGGAUACUACUGGUAGAUAAGAUUGUAACUUCCUGAGGGAGGCCCAAGGACAAAGGCAGGUUUGGUGAAGGGAGCUGUUAAAGAGAGCUUCUUGAGAAGUUAACAAGUUUUAAGUCAUCUUUUAACACCAUUUAGCAACAAGCAGUUGUCAUUCCUGAGGAGGUCGAGAUAUUUUCAAAUUCAGUACUCCAAUUUCCAUCUAUGGAUUCCUGAAGCCAGUGAUUACUCUCAGUUGACCAAUAAUGAAAAUUGUAUCUAUUAAUAAUGCCAUUAGAUUUUGUUUCUUGCGAAGUUAUUAUCGGUGUUGCAUCUUAAUUUUGCGAUCUUUUCAUAUUUCCUUAACAACUGAUUAUUAAAAUUUUAAUUGAUUCUUGAUUUUCAUUAAGAUGAGGUUUUAGCGUAAGUAAAUUAAAAAUCUUUGACAGAAAAUUAAUCAGUAACUCUACAUAGCUUGAAGUGUCGGUCAAAGAAACGUCUGGGGUUCCAUUAAAAAAAAAAGAUGGGUCUCCAUGGCAAGGAAUCUAGAAAUGUGGUGAAUAAUUUAAUGAAAAAGUCUAUUUAAGGCCGCUUUUCGUACAUCAAGUAAUUAAAAAGUUACAGGCCUUAUUCACGAUUUUUUUGCUAGUCUGUUUAGGUAUUUGUAGAUAUAAAAGUGAACAUAAAAUGGGGUCAUUUAGGUUUUUUAAUGAUGUGUAUGAAGGCUAUAUUGAUAUUGAAUUAUAUUGAUUAAAAUAUUCAUUAGUGCCAAUCACACAAACUUUUAUUAAAAUCUAAAUAGGAGCUUUAGAAGUUUUGGCUGCUGGCGACCAAUCGAGUUUCACAAUUUGGAAGUGGCUUUUGAUUGUGACAGUAAUAUCUUUUCAAUAGGAAUUUAUAUUUGUGACACAUAAAUUUAUAAGAAAGUAAUAGUGUUUUGAUUCGCGUUUCGUCAAACUGUUUUACACUUAAGAAUACAUACCUACACACUAGUUUGUAAAGUAUUUUUUACUACUAGUGCACGUAAAGUAACUUGGUAUUGUUAUUUUAAAUUUUUUCAUGUGUAGCAGAAAAAAAUUGUAUAUUACAGGUGUGUAAAAUCUCCUUUUUAUGGGGAUUUUCGCAUGAGCCGUUCCUAGUAGAGUAAAGCGAUGGAUCAUUUUAAAUGCAAAAUAAAUAUUUUUUCUCUAGAAAUAAAAAACAAAGACACUAGGUACUAAUGGGUUUAGAUGCGACUAUCUAGCAGGAUUCGUGUUAAUAACAAAUUGUAGUAAAUGUUGAGUAGGUCGGAAGUAAGUCUUGAUUAAAGUGGUUAAUUUAAUUCAUUAUUAUGAUAAUAGUUGACAGUUUAACUAUAGAAUUUUAAUACAUUAUUCCUUUUUUUACGCAAAUAAUAUAUUUUUUUAAACUUGAUGGCCUACGGCCGAAAGCGCUUGGCAACUAUUAUUAUAUGCCUUUCGUUAAAUACAGUAUUUUAUUUUGACUUUCCCGAAAGUCAAAUACAGUGUUUAACUGACUAAAUCUACCUUAACAACAGCUUCUAAACCUUUAUUUUGGGUUCCUUCAAAAAUAGACCUUUUUUUGAAACAUAAGAGGCUUUUUAAAUAAACUAUAAUAAUGAUAUUAUUCUUUUAAAUCUCGAGCCACCAUGGUUGCUUUCGUUUUGGAAAUUUUUUAAGAUGCCUUGCUGCUGGAUCAACAUAUUUUGAGGCACAAAAUGUAGUUUGUCAGCAUAUCAAACUUUUCUUUAUGGCGAUAAAGGUCAGCCGGUGUAUUUGAGGAUAAUAAUACAUCAAAUUUAAAAAGAGCAUUCUUUCAUUUUAAGUAUCAAAAAAAAGUCACAUGUCAUACAUAAUUGAAUUCGUAAUAAAAAUCAGAUACAGGGUGCAUUUUUAUCAAUAACUAAUUUUCUUUCUAAGAUUUUUUAAGAUACUAAUUGCAAUUACACCCGCGUAAUUGCAAUAGGUAUCUGCAAUAUAUUUUUUCAAUCUAAUAAUCCGUUUAUUACCCUAAAAAGUGUGACAUAAUAAUAUAUUCAUUAAUGUAUUUAUUAUACUUGAUGUGAUUGCAUUACAUAGCACAAUUUUUUUGAAAGCUUGAAAGUAAAAUAGUAUGUUUAAUCGUUUUCAGUAUAAUAAACACCCAAAAUGAAAUGUUAUUUAAAUCAAUAUUUAGGAUUUAAAAUAACAAAGUUUUUUUUUGUUUAAAUCAGCUAUUUUUUUUUUAAUUUAUUUUAUUACUUUCUAAAAAAUAAAAGAAUAACGCACGCUAAUGAAGCGGCCAUAUUUUCCUCCCGUCUCAAUUAUGCCUCGCAGACGCAGGUAUCGUUGUAGGCCAGUAUAAGUUUAUUUAAUUAUUAGAUAUUAAUGGGAUUGUUUAGAAUAAGUAUAGUACUUUAUUUUAAAUUUAACUCUGUAAGGUCACGUUUGCUCUCUUUCUCUUCUAUUUGACACGCCCAAUAGUUCGUUUGUUUUCUCCCCUUUGCACUGGUAAAUUUUACUGUAAAUAAAAGUUUUAAAAGGGAUAAUUGUUUAUUGUCAAUGAUUAGCCUGAGGUUUACACAUUCAAUAAAAUGUUCAUUACUAUUGUA
rnacentral:lncRNA from 1 species